rnacentral:rRNA from 1 species
AACCAGCACCUCAAGUGGUCAGGAUGAUUAUUGGGCCUAAAGCAUCCGUAGCCGGCUUUGUAAGUUUUCGGUUAAAUCCAUGUACUCAACGGAUGGGCUGCCGGAGAUACUGCAUGGCUAGGGAGUGGGAGAGGUAGACGGUACUCGGUAGGAAGGGGUAAAAUCCUUUGAUCUAUUGAUGACCACCUGUGGCGAAGGCGGUCUACCAGAACAUGUUCGACGGUGAGGGAUGAAAGCUGGGGGAGCAAACCGG